rnacentral:rRNA from 1 species
AGGUGGUGCAUGGUUGUCGUCAGCUCGUGUCGUGAGAUGUUGGGUUAAGUCCCGCAAACGAGCGCAACCCCUAUUGUUAGUUGCCAUCAUUCAAUUGGGCACUCUAGCGAGACUGCCGGUAAUAAACCGGAGGAAGGUGGGAUGACGUCAAAUCAUCAUGCCCCUUAUGACCUGGGCUACACACGUGCUACAAUGGUUGGUACAACGAGUUGCGAGUCGGUGACGGCGAGCUAAUCUCUUAAAGCCAAUCUCAGUUCGGAUUGUAGGCUGCAACUCGCCUACAUGAAGUCGGAAUCGCUAGUAAUCGCGGAUCAGCACGCCGCGGUCGAAUACGUUCCCGGGCCUU